GCGGCGGACGGGUGAGUAACACGUGGGCAACCUGCCCUGCAGACUGGGAUAACUUCGGGAAACCGGAGCUAAUACCGGAUAACACCGAAAACCGCAUGGUUUUCGGUUGAAAGGCGGCUUUUAGCUGUCACUGCAGGAUGGGCCCGCGGCGCAUUAGCUAGUUGGUGAGGUAACGGCUCACCAAGGCGACAAUGCGUAGCCGACCUGAGAGGGUGACCGGCCACACUGGGACUGAGACACGGCCCAGACUCCUACGGGAGGCAGCAGUAGGGAAUCUUCCGCAAUGGACGAAAGUCUGACGGAGCAACGCCGCGUGAGCGAAGAAGGUCUUCGGAUCGUAAAGCUCUGUUGUCAGGGAAGAACAAGUACCGUUCGAACAGGGCGGUACCUUGACGGUACCUGACGAGGAAGCCACGGCUAACUACGUGCCAGCAGCCGCGGUAAUAC
rnacentral:rRNA from 1 species